AUUGAACGCUGGCGGCAGGCCUAACACAUGCAAGUCGAACGGUAACAGGAAGAAGCUUGCUUCUUUGCUGACGAGUGGCGGACGGGUGAGUAAUGUCUGGGAAACUGCCUGAUGGAGGGGGAUAACUACUGGAAACGGUAGCUAAUACCGCAUAACGUCGCAAGACCAAAGAGGGGGACCUUCGGGCCUCUUGCCAUCGGAUGUGCCCAGAUGGGAUUAGCUAGUAGGUGGGGUAACGGCUCACCUAGGCGACGAUCCCUAGCUGGUCUGAGAGGAUGACCAGCCACACUGGAACUGAGACACGGUCCAGACUCCUACGGGAGGCAGCAGUGGGGAAUAUUGCACAAUGGGCGCAAGCCUGAUGCAGCCAUGCCGCGUGUUUGAAGAAGGCCUUCGGGUUGUAAAGUACUUUCAGCGGGGAGGAAGGGAGUAAAGUUAAUACCUUUGCUCAUUGACGUUACCCGCAGAAGAAGCACCGGCUAACUCCGUG
rnacentral:rRNA from 1 species